CUCAAAGAUUAAGCCAUGCAAGUGGUUAUUAUAACCCGACAGUUUAAAUAAGUGUUUGGUAAUGAUCAGUAACUUAAACUCACUCACGUACUCAAAAACGAAAAUAUAGAUUACUAACGCGAUCUAUAUUUAGUGAAACGCUUACCACGUUAUCACUUAUGCAACUGCAGACAGCUGCUUAAUACAGUCACACUUGUCUUGACUUGGCUAACUUUUAGAGACAUACACUUGACACUGUAUGUACGCCACCGCACAAAAUUAUUUACACACAAAUGUACUCCACCACGCAUGGAUGUCUUUUAUGCACGCACGCAUACGCGUUGUAGGCAAUUUGUUGAUGUACUCGCGCUCAAUUUUCACCGCACACAAACGACUUAUGACCGCAAAUUAUAUAUUAGCGACCGCGGAUUUUAAUCUUGCCAAAAGAGCUAUCUUUGCAACUUGCUAUAGAACCAGACCGCACUGACUGCUCGUUUGAGACUUUAACGAGUCUCAUAUACAAGAGGUUUUAAAAUGCAACUGCCAAUUUGCGCGUCGUACACAGUGCGUGUCGCGAGGUUGAUUGUCGUGUUGGGUGUAUCUUCAAAUACCGUCUAUAAACGUGUGUGUGUGUGUGUAUGUAUUGGAUAUUUGUGCACGCGUGUUGUAUAUACGUCCCUGUACUUAUUUAUGUGUGUGUGGUGCUAUGUACGUGUCGUCGUAUGCUCUCUAAAAAAACACACACACAAAAUAAAUGCUUUGACGGAUAACUCAGGGAAAGUUUGGCUAAUACGUACGAACUAAAAAAAAAAACUGGYUUAUUGUCGUGUUGAAUUGUCGUGUCAAAAAGANCCACUCUCUUUGUGUUUGACAUUGUGUCUACAACAUUCCUCUCUCACUAACACACACACACCCCUUAUUGGAAUAAUUGCACUCACUCUCGUCUUUCACAUAAAACCAACUCACCCAAACGGUUUUGUGUUCACGCACACGCGCACAUUUCUCACACUUUAAAAACGAAUAUCGCUUUUCGCGUUCAGUGGUUGGAGUUUACCAAACGCAACAUGAGAGACACUGAAUACGCAGUAAUUAAGGGACUUGCGCCCUUUUUUACAUACGCUGAGUUGAUAUGAUACGAUUUUCUCGUAUUAUACAUGUCAUACAAGCAUCUAUAGCAUCAAGUCACAGGGUUGGCAAGUGUAUUAUUGAACCUUCAAAGCAGUCACGCAUACGGAAGAGUAGUUUCUGAUCCCAUAGAAGGAGCACAGUACAUUGAGAGACGGCUCUUAGUUCUAAGGAACGCAGCAGGCGCGUAAAUUGUCCAAUAAUAGUACAAUUUAUUCUUUUACCCUAACGAGGUAAAAUUAAAAAGUACAUGUGAAUCUUAAAUUCGCUGUAUUUUACCACAACACAAACCUUAAACUAACGUCGAGUAAAAAAAUAAUAUAUUGAGACAGUGACAAGCUGUAACGGUUGAGUAUAAUAAUUAUGACGAGUGUCUGACUUCUGCCGCUACUUCGGUAGCUUGGCGAGUGUCGACACUUUGUGUGCUCAAUUGGAAUGCGGUGAGUUUAAAACACUCAGAACCUGGUGAUUGAUAUUGGCGUAAUGCCUUUAUCAUUUCAUCGUAUCUGAAUCUUCAAGUGGAGGGCAAGUCUGGUGCCAGCAGCCGCGGUAAUACCAGCUCCACUGGCCUAUACAAUCAUUGUUGCGGUUAAGAGGCUCGUAGUUGGAUUGAAUAUAUUAAAUUUUACGACGUUGUACGUAUAGAUUUUGUCUCAGUAUAAACGUUGUAUAUCGUACUAACUAACACCACCCACCUUAUUCAACACUGUGAACAAAUCAGAGUGUAUCAAACAUGUCUUUUUUACACGCACUGAAUGUCCCAUCAUGGAAUGUUGCUUUGCUAUCCGGUAAUUAAUUACACGCUUUAACACACUUAUAUACACGUCGAUGGAGAUAGUUGGAGUCAACAGUACUACUGGGCGAGCGGUGAAAUGCAUUGACCCUAGUAUGACUACCAAAAGCGAAAGCAGUUGGCUAGGCUAUACUCUUUGUGGAUUUGCUCAGUUGAUUGUUGUGUAACACACACACCCCUUUGAGUUGCUUUGUGCAGUGGUCCGUGCUGUGUUGUUGUUAUUAUUCAUGUAUGAGGUUUAUGAUUAUAUUUUUGUACGCGCCGCUCGUGGACGAUAUUUGAUUUUGUGAGUUUGUGUGUGCUUGUGUAAUUUUAUUGACACACCCACAAUGCGCUUCGGUGCUGCGUGUGUGUCCUUUAUUUUUACCACGCGCGCAAACGUACAUUCUCAUUCAUCUAAAACGACGCGUGUGCAUUUUUAUAGUUAUAUAUCUCUUGUGUUUAAUAUGAUACAGUACAGUACUCACCACUCACAUUGCCUUUGUCGUGGAAGUGUUGUUGUGAUUUUGUUAUGCGCAGUGAACAUCUUUUGCAACGCAAUUUUAUACACACAGCGUACAUUUUCAUACAUCUGACACGCACGCACGCACGCACGCACGCRCGCGCAUUAGAUUAGUAAUUACGCACUAUACAUUACCACCUCUACWSGACCACACACAUCGAACCACUCACUCAAACAACAWUACWCUGDUGCRUAGUACACUUUACHACGAAKRACGAAGGUUGGGGGAUCAAAGAGGAUCAGAUACCCUCGUCGUCCCAUUUUUACAUCAAACGAUGGGCUCUCAAUUGCACACUUUACCGUGUGUAGUUGUUAUAUUAUAUUCCCAACCUGCAACAUUUYUAGCUGACUUGAGCUUGUGUUUUCRAACACGCUCGUCGCUUUAAAUUUAUUGCUAACUCAGGAGUUUUAAUAUUCUCUGCACACACAUUCUUUACGAUAGUAUUAAUCAAACGUGUAUUUUUCUUCGGAAUUUUCACUUUGUUCUAUCUUGAUUUUCGGAGCUUUGCGCUCAAUUUAUUUGGUGAGAUGUAAGCACGCGUGAUUGUAUAAUGGUACGUUGUUGCAUUCGUGCAACACUACUCAUUUUUACUUUCACAAUCUUUGUGUGACGCACGUGUUAGGCACGGGCUUACUGCAGAAAUGUUUAAGACACUUCUUUCCUGGGGUAGUAUGCAUGCAAGUGUGAAACUUGAAGGAAUUGACGGAAGGGCACCACAAGAACGCGCGGAUCAUGUGGCUUAAUUUGACUCAACGCGGGAAAUCUUACCGGGUCCGGACACACUGGGGAUUGACAGGUUAUGGGGCGGGUUGAAUUUCAAUCUCUUCGGGGAUUAAUUUUCUCCCACCUCAAAAAUAUGCUAGUCCUUUCAUGAUUAUGUGAUAGGUGGUGCAUGGCCGUUCUUAGUUCGUGGAGUGAUCUGUCUGCUUAAUUGCGUUUCACUAAAGGCGUCAUUAAUUUUUUGUGCCUGUGUUUGACCCCGCACUUCGGUGCGCGCGCGUCUUUCACACACAAUUACUUUGACGUCUGAAAGCAACGAACGUGACCGUAACCUCUUGUUGCCUUCUCUUCUCUUCGGAGAAUGCUGCUUUAUACCUUCACGGGUGUAUCGCAGUAUACGGAGGCUUAAUACUCAGUAACUAGAGGGACCGCUGUUACUUUCUUUAAACCAGAGGAAGGUUGCGGCAAUAACAGGUCUGUGAUGCCCUUAGAUGUUCCGGGCUGCACACGUGAUACAUUGAUUACUUCAGUGAGUAUCUACGUAUUACUGCGCAGCAGUAUACGCGUGUUGUUUAUUGCUUCGGCAAUUUACUUUGCGCUAUACGCCGCCUUAACCUACUUCGAAAGUAUGUGGGUAACCAAUUAGAAGUAGUGAUUUCCCUCUUUAUAAGCACACUUAUAUGGAGCAUCAUCACCCGGCAUGCCUUGUGCAUGUUUUGUGUGUGUUGUUUGUCUACAUGUGCUUUUGUCAAUUCAUAGUGGGGACAGACCAUUGUUAAUUGUUGGUCUCGGUCUUAACUAGGAAUGCCUUGUACGAGUUUUUGGUUCAACAAACCACUCGGAAUACGUCCCUGCCCUUUGUACACACCGCCCGUCGCUCUUACCGAUGGAUUAUAUUAUGAGUUGGCAGGACCGUCCAGGAAAUGCCUGCGAAUAAUGUGAUCUAAAGGAAAGAGAAGUCGAACAAGGCA
rnacentral:rRNA from 1 species